CCCCUAGAUGUUCUGGGCCGCACGCGCGCUACACUGAACAGUUCAACAAGUCUUAACCUUGGCCGAUAGGUCUGGGUAAUCUUUGAACGCUGUUCGUGAUUGGGAUAGACCUUUGCAAUUAUGGGUCUUCAACGAGGAAUUCCUAGUAAACGCAAGUCAUCAGCUUGCAUUGAUUACGUCCCUGCCCUUUGUACACACCGCCCGUCGCACCUACCGAUUGAAUGGUCCGGUGAAAUCUCGGGACGGCGGCUCGGUCGCUUGCGUCCGACUGCUGAAACUUGAUUAAACCAUAUCAUUUAGAGGAAGGUGANGUCGUNACA
rnacentral:rRNA from 1 species